rnacentral:ncRNA from 1 species
AAAAGAUUAAAUCCCCGAGUCAAAGCCCCUGCGAAUUUUAUUCAUGGGACAAGACCAAUGGGUGUCUUUGGAAACGGAGGCGCCUCCCGUUUUGGAAAGGGGAAGGGUUGGCAGGCCG